rnacentral:rRNA from 1 species
GACGGAGGGUGCUAGCGUUGUUCGGAAUUACUGGGCGUAAAGAGCGUGUAGGCGGCUAGAUAGGUCCGUUGUGAAAACUCGAGGCUCAACCUCGAGACGCCGGUGGAAACCCAUCUAGCUAGAGUCCGGAAGAGGAGAGUGGAAUUCCUGGUGUAGCGGUGAAAUGCGCAGAUAUCAGGAAGAACACCCGUGCGAAGGCGGCUCUCUGGUACGUGACUGACGCUGAGACGCGAAAGCGUGGGGAGCGAACAGG